rnacentral:lncRNA from 1 species
UUCCUAACAUAAUGUGAACACCUAACGGAUUAGACUCUUUCUAUUCCCUGAUUUCCUAAAACAAUACUACUGCCUAUAUAACACCCCUGUUCUCCCUUAGGCCUGGUUUACUUGUUGCCAGCCUUCUUUCUAUUCCCUGAUUUCCUAAAACAAUUCUACUGCCUAUAGAACACCCCUGUUCUCCCUUAGGCCCGGUUUCCUUGUUGCCAGCCCACAACAUUACAAUCCUCCAGGAUAGGCAUCUUGUUCUCAAGCUGCGGGACGGCGGCCAUGGUUACAGCCCUAGGUUACCCCAUUUGGAAGAGACUUGGCUGCAUGGAUGCUUCAAGUCGUGACAUAUACACUUGCUGGACACCAUGCCAUACACACUCCUUUCCUUGCUGGACUACAUGUCAAACUCAGACAAUAAUUCUGAGUUUGUGUGAGUCCUGAAUUCUCUUGCACGUAUAAAUAAGGAAUUGCGCAUCCCUGAAAGUUGCGACUCUCUUAACAUGUCUGUACCUCUGCAAGAGAAACACAUUUAUAAAUAUCAGAAUUCAAUCUGAGUUCAUUUGGUUUGUCAUAUGAAAUAAUCUUUCCAAGUUAACAUUGCGUGAGCAAGUAAAAGGAUGCGCAGUUGCUCAAACAGUGGCUUAUCCGGGAGAAUCCACAAAUAUUCUUUAUUUCCUUUAAUACAGGCCCUCGUUUUUAUUCCACUGUUCUUUUUUUCUAAUGAUGAAAGACUAAUGUCUUCCUUCAUAACUUUUCCCUUUUUUUUGCCCAGCUGUCAAACACACAUAAUUAAAUCCAAAGUCCUUUUCUAUGUCUCCUUUCCUUUCGUGGUUUUGCUUUCCAUCAUUAACUUGCUCUAGUCUUUGACUAUCUCCUGGAUCAAUCACGAACUGAUGUGCACGAUUGUUUCAUUUAGCCUGCCGCACACGAAUCUGGCUCCAAUUCUUCUGUCUGUCAUUGUUUUCUUACCUCCUUCCUCUGCAGCUCGUGCUCCUUUCCAGGCCCCCCUUGCUUACUGGCACUACAUGUGGCGUGUACAUGCCCAUAGCUUUGCAAUCACGUGCUGCAGCUGCCACAACUUUUUGCUUCACCUCCAUCAUUGAAUCAAGCUCCUACGCCAUGGAGAGCCUCACAUCCACGUUUGGCUGCACCGACUCUGCCUCCUAUUGCUCCUCCUUUGUGACUUCUUUCACGUGUUCUUCUCCUUCCUCCAGGGUUCGCACUCGUGGCACACUCAUGAUAGCCAGAAAAUCUUGGCGAAAAGCAGCAAUCCUCAAUUUGUUAUUUUGCUUACAAAUAUCAGUGCUCAUGGCUUUCACCAAGCUGGCCAGGUUGCCCUGAUUUUUGUCUUGCACUUUGGAAGCCAUGGCGAUCAGCUCAUAACUACCAUGCUGAAGAUAGCCAGAUUGCUGUGGGGAACUAGAUACACAUAUACUAGAUUGGUUCUUUCUUCUUUUCUUAAACCUUUCCAGGAUACAUGACAUCCUUAUAUACUGAAUGCUUAAAGUGGUGCCUAAAGUACCUCUAAUCUCCCUCAGUUCAGAACCCCUUCUGCUACAGCAGAUAUCCUCCGUACGUUGCGGCUACAGGACCAUGUAGAAAGUGUAAAUGUUGAUGCGCUUACAUGUUACAGAUGAGUUUUGUGAAACUGAUAUGCAUGGUGUGCUUACCUUGAUUUAACUCAGUAGUAUGGUCAUGAAAAAAAUCCGUGCAAUAAAACUAUAGUUAUGGUAGAUUUAUAAAACUGAUAUGCAUAGAGUCCAAAAUUAAUUUACAGUUGCUUGUUUUCAAACUUCAAUAAAACUAUAGUUAUGGUAGAUUUAGAGCGUAAGCGUGUAAAACUUGUUUCAUUAAAUGAUAUCCUAAAUCCAAAUUAUUGCUUGCUUAUUUAGACAUGAUUAGAUUUCAUAAACUUUGGGUUUUCAGAAUCUUGACUUAUGAGGACAUGAAUAUGAACUCUUGCUUUUGUUACAAGCUACAACAGUUUUUGAAGUCACACUCUGUUGGGUUAAUGAACUGAAUGUGCCUUUUUUUUUUGCAAUGCAUGUCCUGGACAUUUAUUCAGGAAUUUGGUCGGAAAAUAGAUAAUAUGCCUCCAAUCUUACUAUCUGUAGUGUUCUAAACUUAAUAUUUUUAUAUUUCUUAGAUAUUAGUUGAUCAAAUGCAACAGCCUUUUGUUUUGUUAUAUGAUUCUGAAGUUUUUCCAAAUAUAUGUCGUCUAAUUUUAACGUUUGUUGCAGCUCACUUAUGCACCAAGAAUACACACUGCAUUUUCCGGGCCUGCAGUUUAUUCAAGGUUUAAAGAUGAUCGUUUACAUGCAUGCAAGGAGGAUGCCAAGUUUACCUGGGUCAGAGCACUUGAUUUUACACCUAACCAAUCUUUUGGGAAGUGUUCCACUCUUGUCAUAAAACUGGAUGAAGAUGCACUCAUGUCGUAUAUUCUCAAUACCUUACCUUUCUCGGGAGUGCUAGGGGAAUUGGCCAUUUCUUCGAUGGAUGUUGUUGGACCCUCGUCCAAAGCGGUUCCCCUUGUUGACUGCCCGCAUGGCUGUUCAGUAUCUUAUGAAGUUCUUUUUCGACUCAACUCUCUUGUUCACAUGGGGAAGAUAGUUGCAAAACAUGUAAAUGCUAAGCUGUUUGCAUUUCUUGAGCAAGUACCACUUCAUAUUUCAAGGAGGAUUUUCGAGAAAAUGAGCAAGUUAGAGUCUACGUGCUACGAACCUCUGCAAUUCAUCGAGUCUGAACUAAAGCUAACCCACAACGCUUUGCUGUCCAGUAAGAGGGAAGGUGAAGGAAAAUUAAUGAGGUGUUACAGAAUUCACAUUACUCCGUCAAAAAUAUACUGCUUGGGACCUGAGGAAGAAGCUUCAAAUUAUGUGGUUAAGCAUCAUUCUGAGUAUGCUUCUGAUUUUGUUAGAGUUACUUUUGUUGACGAAGACUGGAGUAAGCUUAGUGUUAAUGCAAUCUCAGCUAGAAUUGAACAAGGGUUCUUUUCUCAACCCUUCAAAACUGGCCUGUAUUACCGCAUUUUAUCCAUUCUUAAAGAAGGAUUUAUCAUUGGCCCAAAGAAGUUUGAAUUCUUGGCCUUCUCUGCAAGUCAACUUCGUGAAGGUUCUGUUUGGAUGUUUGCUUCUAAUGAUUCGUUGAAUGCAGAGAGUAUAAGAAGGUGGAUGGGCCACUUUGAAGAAAUUCGUUCAGUGUCGAAGUGUGCGGCUAGAAUGGGCCAGCUGUUCAGUUCUUCCAGGCAAACGGUUGAAGUCCGACCAUGGGAUGUGGAAGAGAUUCCAGAUAUUGAAGUCACAACUAAUAACACAAAAUACAUAUUUUCUGAUGGUAUUGGGAAGAUGUCUGUGAGAUUUGCCAGAGAAAUUGCUUACCGAAUUGGACUAGAUCAUACUAACCCUCCUUCAGCUUUUCAAAUAAGGUUUGGUGGCUACAAAGGAGUGAUUGCUGUUGACCCUUCUUCCUUUCGCAAUCUUUCUCUGCGACCUAGUAUGAGGAAAUUUGAAUCAGAUUGCAGGAUGCUUAACAUUACAAGUUGGAGCAAGUCCCAGCCAUGCUACGUGAAUCGAGAAAUUAUCUCUCUCCUUUCAACUUUGGGGAUAAGAGAUGAGGUAUUUGAGUUAAUGCAACAAGAUGAUAUGCGUGAAUUAGAUGAAAUGCUAACCAACAAAGAAGUUGCUUUGUCAGUCCUGGGGAAAAUUGGCAGUGCCGAAACUAAGACAGCAGCGGAUAUGUUGCUACAAGGUUAUGAACCAAUUUCCGAGCCAUACCUGUUGAUGAUUCUCAAAGCCCAUCAGGAUAAUAGGUUGACUGACAUAAGAUCUAAAUUUAAGAUUCAUGUCCCAAAAGGCCGUGUUCUUCUUGGUUGUUUGGAUGAGACAGGUAAAUUAAAAUAUGGUCAAGUUUACAUCAGAAUUACAAAGAACAACAAAGAGCAGAAAGAGAAUGAACAACCUUAUUUUUCUGAAGAUGAUGGGAAAACAGUCACUCUUGUUGGAAAAGUUGCAGUCUCGAAAAAUCCCUGUCUCCAUCCUGGUGAUGUCAGAGUUCUUGAAGCUGUCUAUGACCCUGGAUUGCAUGCUAAGAAGCUAGUUGAUUGUGUUGUCUUCCCUCAAAGAGGAGAAAGGUAUGCCAUAUAUGAUACUUAAACUGAAAGAUGAUCUUCAAAGUCUGAAUUAAUCCAUUUGAUCGAAGUUGUCAAUGCUUGCAUUUUUCUUACUUUAAUAUUUUGUGUUAAUUAGGCCUCAUCCAAAUGAAUGCUCUGGGGGCGAUUUGGAUGGUGACCUCUAUUUUGUCACUUGGGAUGACAAACUGAUUCCAGAGAAGGCUGACGCACCUAUGGACUACACUGGAGCAAGGCCACGUAUAAUGGAUCAUGUUGUUACACUCGAGGUAUGUUCCUGACUGCUUAUUCAUUUUUAUUUCCUUUUGGUUGUUGUUGCUAAUUUACUGAGGUAUUAUUCCAGUUGACCAGUAUCAGUUUUCUAUAGUUGCAAAUAUCAUCUUAGGAUUAGUAUUUUUAUGAAUUGUAGCAUUUCAAUCAUAUAGAUGUUGUUGACGUAAUGACGUCACAUCUUUGUAAAACACGUCUGUGCAUACCAAAAACUGAGAAAAAUGCACUAGGGCAAUAAGUGCACACACUUGAUGAAACAUGUGGUCCUAAUAGCGCGACACCAAAGAGAACUGGUUGCUAUCUUCCGAGUUCCGACUGAACUAGGAUGGCAUGGCAGCCAACGAGAAAUUUUCAAUGCUUUGAACCAAGUAUAUGCUCGCCAUAUACGGUCAACAAUGUUCUGUAGAAAUACGAGUACUCCUUUCAGAAAAAGAACAAAUUUUGCUGUCUGCCAACAAAAAAUUGUGCCUGAUUGUGUUUUAGGCCUUUCGCCAAAUCUUGGCUUUAAAGUGGUCUUCAUGGAAUGUUAAUCCCUAACCUUGCUAGGUUCACAAUUAUUUACUACCACCAAUCGGCCGUUCAAAGUUGUGUCUUGGACUAGUAACUGCAUUUUCCUCUAUGAUAGUUGUACCUGGAUUCUUACAAAGGCAUCUGAUUAACUGCAGGAAAUUCAGCAGCACGUCGUCAAUUACAUGCUAAGUGACUCACUCGGUGCUAUCUCAAAUGCUCACCUGAUCCAUGCGGACCGUGAUCCGAUGAAAGCUCGGAGUCCCGAGUGCCUCCAGCUCGCUGCUCUGCAUUCGAUGGCAGUCGACUUCGCCAAGACAGGAGCUCCAGC